rnacentral:lncRNA from 1 species
CCUGACAAUUUUAUUUGCAUUCAACAGGCUUUCAGCCAAUUCAAGACUCAGGACAUUUUGAAAACCAUACAUUUGCUCACAUAAUCCGACAAAGGCAAGAAGGAGCAGCAGAAUUUGAUGUUCUGCUACAUCACCAGAAAAUCUUCUACCCAGUAUGCUCAAAGAUACCCUGUUCCCAUCCUGGUUCUCCUUCCUGAUGAGCCAGGACUGAUAGUUCCCAAAAGAAAAAGAGCAAGUUUUUGGUCCCUAAGGCCAGGUUCAUUCCAGGAGCCCAGUUUUAAACAAGAUUAAACAUGCACACAGCUGAAAUCAGACAGGGUACUAUAGCAAUGUUGAAAGAGUGGACUUAAAGCUCAGCUCCUCCCGGACAGCGAAGAUUCAGCCCCCA